rnacentral:rRNA from 1 species
UACGGAGGGUGCAAGCGUUGUCCGGAAUCAUUGGGCGUAAAGAGCGUGUAGGCGGCCUGGUAAGUCCGCUGUGAAAGUCCAGGGCUCAACCCUGGAAUGCCGGUGGAAACUGUCAGGCUCGAGUCCGGAAGAGGCGAGUGGAAUUCCUGGUGUAGCGGUGAAAUGCGCAGAUAUCGGGAGGAACACCUGUGGCGAAAGCGGCUCACUGGACCACAACUGACGCUGAGGCGCGAAAGCUAGGGGAGCAAACAGG